rnacentral:lncRNA from 1 species
GAUAAUAACAAUCAAUUACAAUAACAACUUGCGGAAGUACCUGUGAUUGCUUUCCUUUCUUCUCAUCGUGCAAAUACUCCCUAAGAGGAAUAAAGGCAGCUAGCUUGCAGGCCUCGAGAAUGUUUGAACCAGUGUAUCCCUCACACAAGCCAGCAAGUCGAUCAAAGUCAACGUUAUCUUCAAUUCUCUCACCCUUCAAAACUACCUUAAAUAUCUUUGUUCUAUCACCAAGGGAAGGCCUGAACCAGUGUAUCCCUCACACAAGUCAGCAAGUCGAUCAAAGUCAACGUUAUCUUCAAUUCUCUCACCCUUCAAAACUACCUUAAAUAUCUUUAUUCUAUCACUAAGGGAAGGCUUCCCAAUCUCAAAU